AGAGUUUGAUCAUGGCUCAGGAUAAACGCUGGCGGCGUGCCUAACACAUGCAAGUCGAACGCGCUCAGAAAUGAGCGAGUGGCGGACGGGUGAGGAACACGUGGGUGAUCUACCUUGAGGUGAGGAAUACCGGCGAGAAAUCGCCGACAAUACCGCAUAAGCUCGUGAGAGCAAAGUCGCAAGACGCCUUGAGAUGAGCC
rnacentral:rRNA from 1 species